rnacentral:lncRNA from 1 species
CUUGAAUGACUCAGAGGGUACUGAGAAUAUUUCUUGAGCAACAGUUUCUUGUUGGGGAAUAUUAUUUUAAGUUGUGUGACUUUUGAUUAUGCUGCAUUUGUUUAAUUCUGGAAAACUGUGUUACUGUGCCUGUCCAAAACACCCGGUGGUCCUAAUAAAGAGGUGAAUGGCCAAUAGCAAGGUGGGAGCAAGGAUGGGUGGGGCCAGCAGGCAGAAAGGAUAAAUAGAAGGAGAAUAAGGAAGAGGAGAACAAGAACAACAAGAGAAGGACAUCAGGGGCCAGCCAUCCAGCCAUCCAGCCAUCCAGCCAUCCAGCCACCCAGCCACUCAGCCACCCAGCAACCACAGAAAAGAAGAAUGACCAUGAAACUAAUUUGCUGCUCCACCGUAACCGUCCCAAGUGUCAAGCCAGCCACAGGACACUUUCUGCUGAGCUGCUGUUUCUUCAUGAUGUUGGCAAACCCUCGGGAUGCCAUAGGGUCCACAGAACAUUCUCUUCUGGACAAAGAUUCUCUUUCUAAUUUAGCCUUGGAAGGACAAACUCCAUGAUUUUGGGCAGACCAGUUCAAUGCAGCACUCAGCAGCUGACACUGAUUUAUUUGGCUGAUAUCACAUGACCUGUCUCUCGAAGAGAAUGAGAUUGAAGAUUACCAGGUACAGGACCCAUACAAUUGUCACUAUGAAGAUCUAAAGGGGCAUAUCAAACUAAACGGUUCCUCUCCAGAGCAUCUCCCUGGACUUGCUGUACCUUCCUCACACCCCUGCACUACAACAGUCCACUCUUAUAGCUCUCAGCUUGACCACACUUAUCAGUUCCUAUCCUUUCUCUUCAUCCCAUGGAAAAUAAAAAUGUUCCAAAGAGAUACAUCAACUGGUUUCUAGUUACAGAAGAAAAACAUACCGAUUAUUCCAAAGGGACAUUUGCAUUUUAAAGAAAGACAAGUAUGUCAGAGGGUAGCCCUAUCUCCUGGUCUAUGCUAAUCCCUGACUCUCUAGGUACUGGAAUCUCAUGCCAGCAGCUUCCCCUGUUCCUCCACACUCUACA